CAGAGAUCCCACAUAGGUCAUGAUCACCAGUAAUAUCAGAGAUACUUUUCUCUUUGGAAUUAGGCUAAUAAACAGUAUAAUCCAAACAAAAUGAGUGUAAUAUAGUGCAAAAUGGUUCAGGUUUCUGAUGAUUCUUAGAACAGCUGCUUCUGGGCUUGAAGGGAUUUUGAAGGGACAUACCAGUUUGAAUUCUGCAAACUUGAAGUCGUUCCAGUUUGUUCCGAUUGUUGAAGAUAUCGGCUCACCGGGAUCAACCAUCGAGGCAGAUCUUGUGGUGGCGCUUGGCCUCUGAAUUGCUCCAUUGCUAGCCAUGUUUCUUGAUUAGAGAGAGAGCAUCCAAAAUUUUGAAAGCAUGUGCUCUUGGAUAAAGGUUGCCAA
rnacentral:misc_RNA from 1 species